rnacentral:rRNA from 1 species
UUUCCGUAGGUGAACCUGCGGAAGGAUCAUUGUUGUACUCU